UCUUUAAAGACUGGAAGUAUGGCUAUCCAUGCUGCAUUGCAUCAGGGACCAGGAAGAUUAUUUGGACAAGAGUUAUGAGAGGCUGGUACUGAAGAGGCCAAAGGGCAGUGAAGAGAAGUGGCAGUAUGUGACUACUUAAAGAAGGAGGCUCCCCAGAACUGAAGAGCAUCAGACUGAAGUAAGAAACUACUUUCAAGCAUUCUGUGAUGAAAAUGCUGAGGAGCAAAGGCAGAAAAGAGGACAUCUUCAGGUCUGAGGCAGAGCCUAGAGGGAAGUACAAGGCAUUAAGGACACUGCACCAAGGAGGAAGAGUUGGCAAUUCUCUUCUGUGGGUGACAGAGGCGCCAAUUGGUUAUCCAGAUUUGGGGGCCCAGGAGGUGUGCUGCCUGCCUGGAACCUGAAUUCAGGACAUCACAGAGAGACUAUCAAAGCUCAUCCAUCCUUUGGACUGCUACCCCUUCCUGCUUGUCCUUGUAGGUGACAACCCAGGAUGCAAAGAAGGAUCUACUCAACAGCUCCUUUGCCUCAGUUUUCAAAAAAAAAUUAAGCUGUGGCCAGACACCUCAUGAGGAUUAUUUGGAUGUAGAAGGAGGCAAGCUGAGGAGGAGAUAACUAAAAGGAAUCCUGUGGAUAUAAUGUAUCUGGACUUCCAUAAGACUUUUGACAAGGUCCCACACAGCCUUCUCAUAAACAGAUUGAAGAAGUAGGGACCAGAUUAAAUUACUAUAAGGUGGAUAGAUAACUGGCUCAGUAGCCACAAGCAAAGGAUAAUUAUUAAUGGGUCCAUAUCAGAAUGGCAGGUGGUUUUGAGUGGAGUCCCACAGGGGUCUGUUUUCUUUAAAUCUCCUCCCCCUGCCUCUGCCUCACUGUGCCGGCCUGGCUAGCAUCCAGCCAUGCUGCCCGCCUGCUGCCCGCCCUCUGCCUGACUCAUGUUGCCCGCCCCUCUUCCUCCCUCCUUUGAAGGGAGGAAGAGGGGUGGGAUGUAAACCUUCUUUCCCCUUCACCUCAGCAUGCUGGCCUGAUUGGCAUCUGGCUACCUCCCUGCUCCCCACUCUGCUGGAGCAAGGCAAAGGCUAAGGGACUGCUCCACCCCUGCCAGGGAGACAACAGCUGGUGUUUAGAGCCAGGUUUUCCAUCCUCACCCCCUUCUCAGUCAGCCAGAGCAGUGAUAGUGCUCCAGCUAAGAAGCAGAGGCGGGACCAACCCUACUCCACUGGAGCAGACAGCACAGCCCAAGGCUGCAAAGCAGUCUGGCAUGCUGGGGAACUUUUGAGUUUUUUGAUCACUUGAACUGGGAAGUGGUCCAGGACAGAAGUUCCAUAAACUGCUUUGUCCAAAAUCACUUAAAUCUGAUACUACAUUGAACCAAGUUUAUCUUAAACAGGUUUCAACCAUUUUGUAAGUGGUUUAAGUGCACUGAACGUCUGCUCUGUUACAGGUUUGAACUGGUUUCAGAUCACUCAACCUGGUUUAUGUGUAACUUCUUUCCCUAGCCUUUGAGGUCAGGCGGGAAUUUUACCCCAUGAUCCAAUUGGUAUGGACUGUGCCUUCCUCUUUAGUAGGGAGCUUGGCCCUCUACCUGGGGUAUCUUGAGUAUAUAUUGGCAUCAUUUCCUAAAAGCAGGUCACUGGCUGUGAUGGUCCCCCUGCUCUACCUGUGGCAGGUUAGGGUGUUAGUCUUAUGUAGAGUUAUAUUAUGGGUUGUAUAGGAUUAUUUGGAAAGGUAUGAUCCUGUGUCAAGCAGGAGUAGAUGACCUCUGAAGGUUCCUUCCAGCUCUACUUCUCUAGGAUUCUAGGGUUCCUCCUGGGUAAUUAUGGCUUUGGAGCAUACAUCGUGGAUUGUCAUCUGGUUACCUUACUUUUGCCUAGAAGAUCUCAAGUCUCUCUUUUCUCAUAUGUCCUUUAUAUGUUCUUUGGUAAAUGACAUGGAGGAAUGCUUGCAUGUUUGUAGCUUGAUUUAGGACAUUUAUGUGAGCUAGAUGGUACAAAUUUCUCAUUUAAAUACUUCAAUAUAUGCUGUAUUUUUCAUUGAUUUAGCAAGGAAACUUAACGGAAGUGAAGGUUACCAUGUUAUCUAUGACCGGCAAGUGAAACCUGGCUCCUUAUCUGUGCUUUGGAACAUGUGAACAAGUUGCAGUAGGUUAAAGGAGUCAGGGCUUUAGAGGUUCAGUUGCUCUUUGAUUACACCAUAGUAAAUGUGCCCCUUAUGUUCCUGUGCAUUCUUCAUUACACUGUAGAGAUGGGGGGAGCUUGGCUCUGAAAGAGACAGACUGGAUGCACUGCAGAAGCUUGAAGAAAGAAGAAAGAAUAACAGACAGAAAAUCGGAAAUAACAGGAUCAAGAAUAAAUGAGAAAAAUGACAAUAGGGUUAUAUAUAGAUAUCUCUAUACAUAUGUAGAUAGAUAUUAAUGGGAAGGAAAAGCUUCCAUUUCUAAAAAUAUUUUUCAUAUUACAUAUGUAUUUGGCAGAACUUCUGAUUCUUCCAUCUUUAAUGAGAAUCCAAGUCUGUGCACAGGGUCUUUGUUUCAAGAGCUUAAGCAAGCACCUGAAUAAGCUUUUGAAACUUGUCAGAAAGGUCACCUGCAAAGAGGUACUUUCAACUGAUAAUUUACAGUAAUGGUUUUUCAACUGGCAACGUUACAAAGGAAAAUCAGUGUGGAGAAACAGGGGACAAUGAUAAUGUUAAUAUAACGUAAAGCAAGAAGUAUCAUGCUCCCAUACUCCGUUACACCCUUGACCUACAAAGUCAAAUAUUUCCUGUCAACUUCUCAAAAGACACAGACAGAUGGAUGCAGCCACUGAUAACAUUAUUAUAACUUAUUGUAACUCUUACAGUAAACUCAUGUAUUUUUUCUGCUCUGAAUAAGAUAUUUCCAGGACAAGGUACCCCAUAGAUGAAAGGAUUACAUUAAAAGGACAAGUGUUAAAUAUAAUUCAUGGAUUUAAAAAGCUUGGUUUGGUAGUCAUGAGCUAUGGAAGGGUUAGAGAACAGCUGAGAAGAAGGUUUCAGCUUUCAGAAUUUUUUUGGUAUGAGAUUGAUGUACCUAGGAAGCAAAGGUCACAAUACAUAGCACUUAUUAUGCUUCUCGUGCUCAUUAGGUUGUAUGGUUCAGAGUCUUGGAUUCUAAUGAUGUAGGAAUUGAAGCUAGUUACAAGCUGCAGAAAUGAAUUUUCUAAAGAUAGUUUUACAGAAGUUAAGAAGAGAUUGAGGGGAAUUUAAGAGAUGAAGAAGACCAGUGUCCCAAGAGACAUACUAAAUCAGGAGAGUUAGAAAACACAAGAAGAAAGGCUGAGGUUGAUGUGGUUUGAACAAAGGAAAAAAAUAUGUGAGGAUAAGUUACUGCAUGGAAUUCUGAAGAUGGUGCAUGAAGACACGAGGCCAAGGAGAGCAGACCAGCAGAGACCCCCUGUGCCUGAAGAAGGGUGACUGCCCCUGAAAGCUUGCCAAGAACUUUUUUCCAGCUACUCAGUUGGUCUAAUAAAAGAUAUUACAUCUACUCAAAGAACCUUGCCUGCCAAGAGGCCAAGGAGAAAUUUCAUGGAGAAGAUGAGGUAACUCCUGGGAGGAAAUCACAGAAGGAAGAUUCAUGGAUUGUAAGACCAGAAGGGACUUCAGAUGAUCACCAGGUCCAGCUCCCUGCACCAGGCAGGAAAGACAACUGGGGGUCAGGUGACCCUGACAAGAUGACCAUCCAGUCUCCUCUUGAAGAUCUCCAGGGUAGGCAAUUGCACCACCUCUGGAGGGAGCUUAUUCCACAGUCUGAACACCCUGACUGUGAAGAAGUUUUUCCUAAUGUUGAGCCUGAAUCGAUCUUCCAGGAGUUUGUAGCCAUUACUCCUAGUUUUCCACUCGGUGCCCUGGUGAACAGUUGCUCACUGAGCCCUUGAUGUACUCCCCUAGUGUAGCGGUAAGAGAAAGAUGUACUUAGCCUGUUGCCAGACCCAAUGAGAUAUUAGAACUGGCUCCUGAUAAUGAAGUACAGGGUUACUAAACCAACAUGUCUGAGUAAUGCUACCUAAUGUAUACAAAAUAGAUACCUCCUGAUCUCAAUGAAUUAGAUCCAUUAUUGGAAAACAAUUGCUGAAUUAUUUGUAGAGAAUUCAACAAGCUUUUUGCUUAUUAAUAAAUAAUAAGAUACAUAUGAGAAUGUUAUUUUGCAAGCUUGUUUCCUUAUUGUAAUACCCUGUGCUCAGGAAAUAAUAUUCAAGCUUCUCAGAUACUCUAAUUGAUUCAAAAUAUGGCAACCCACUUGCUCAGAUUGUGGGCAGAAUUAUACAUUGGUCAAUGCUAGUGUCUGAACUCAUUUUGUUGCAAUGUCCCAGAGAGUUCAUCUUAUUGCUGCUAGUUUUCAGAAGUCCUGAGUUGCUGUCUAAGCUACUCAGGAAUACUUACCUUCCCUACCUAUACCCAGCACGUUUCAUAUCAGCUCCAUUUCUCAGGGAAAAUGCCAUACUGACAGAAUAAGCUCUGAGAGAGCUAAGGAUCUUUCUUUUUGCAGCUGAAAUAUGGCAAUGGGACUCCUUUUCUCAAAGGAUCAGAAUAUCACUGCCAUCAGAUCUAACCACAACGUCCAUCUCUUUCCCUUUGUUUUUCAUAAAAAUGAGGUUUAUAAUAAUUUUUCUUUAAAAACCCCUCACACUUUGGUUCAAGCUAUCCUAACCUUUCCUUUCCAUUUUCCACAUUCCAUUCCAAUCAUUAAAAAAGCAAUGCAUCCUAGUCCAAAUUCUUCUCUCAGGAGCAGUGUAACUGAGAGGAGAAUUUGUCAGUUUGUGUUUGGAGUGAUAUAGCUGGAAGCCAUUUCAAGCAUUCACAGAAAAAUCUGGCCUGGCAUCUUUCUGUUGUUAUUGCUGGUAAAAAGUUAAUAAGCCUGCACUAAGCACUUUAUCCUGUAGUGGUGGGUGGUGGAAUGAAUGUAUGGAUAGGCAGAACUAAUUCCAGGCAGGUUCUAGAGUGCACGUAAAAAAAAAAUCUCUUAAUGUUUUUGCAUUAGCUCUUGCCAAAACAGUGCUCAAGGCUUUAACUAAAACAUACCUUUCCCUCUUGUCUGCUUAGAAUAUAAAUGUAAAAAUGCCAGCAAGUUUAUUUCUAACGGAAAAUUAAUUUGUUGAUUCAUAUAACCUGUUGAAUAAUUUAGAGCUAGAUUGUCAUUUUACAAUGCCAGGUAGAAAAACACGCUGUCAUGGACCAGGGAAUGAACUGUAGCACUGAGAAGCACAAGUCAUUCUCUGGUUUUCCUCUUACUCCUGCAAGGAUGCAAUCUGCUCCAUACCUACCUUAUGGGAUAGAAUUCUGGCUCUUUACGCAAUUUUCCGCUCUGUGCUUCCUUGGUCCCUGCAUAGUUGGGAGAAGAGUCUUGCUGUUCCAGAAACUACUCUAUUUCUGUGACCUGUAUUAAUGGUGGACUAAAUGGAUGCACAGAGAGUGUAAAUGUACACAGACACUGUAACAUAAACCUUUUGCAUUGCAUUUAGAAUCCUAGGAGCCCAUGUAGAGAGAACAUUUAUAUCAUCUCACAAAGGUAUUUAGUCUCCCUAACGCAAGAAUUCACUGGGCACCAUUCACAAAGUAUUAGUGACCAAAACCAGGUCAGGCACUUGAACUAUAUGUUUUUCAUAAAACAGCGACAUUCCUAAAAUAUUUGCAUCCUCUGUGUAACUGUUCUUUCACUGCUGCUAAAAUACACACUGUUUUGCUUUAACACCUGACACUGCCUUUCAUACUCUGCUUAUGUUCCCAGUAGGGAUCAAAAAAAGCUAGCCAUUUGUCCAAGAAUUUUGCUUACGUCUCAUUUCCAUCUUCAAAUUUAAUUAGGCCCAAAGAGCCCAAGACAUUGAAAAGAAAACAUCAACUUGUUUUCAAAAGGAGUGGAAUACAUGUCCCCUUACCUUGCCCUACAUCCAGGUCUCCCUGCCAAACUAUCUCAGCUGAUGCCAGUUCCCUGUUUGUUAGCUAAAACCAUUUGCUGCUACAUGUAAACUCAUGGUUCAGUCAGCACUCAUUCAUCUUGGAUUUGCUGGAAACUUGUGCUCACAGUCCUGUUCUGGUGGCCAUUUUAUCUGGUGUCUCUCUGUGCUUCCUGCAUUAAUGCUUAAUGCAGUGCACUCAGCUGUCAUUCCUGAGUUUGGGGUUGGCUUGCAACACAAUUCUGUUUCUUACUUUUUCCAGCCAUCCACAUUUUCCUCCAACUGUGAGACAGGGGUCCCAGUUUUUAGUUCUGGCUGAGCUCAGCUGAGAUGGAGUGGAAAGGUGGCUGUAUAGCAAAUUUUGUCUCCUUGUAUUUUUAAGCUGGCUGGGGACCUAUCUGGCCUCUGUCUUAAAUUAGAUUCCAAGGCCUGCUCUGAUUUACAUUCAGCUGCCUAUUUCCCUCAGGGGUUGUCACAAUGUCCAAGAGCUCUGGUAGGAUCCAGCCAUACCACUGAACUCCUGCCAUUUCCCUGGUGUGCCACAAUGUGUUGGACUCUUUGUUUUUGGAAGCAAGAGUGGGAUUUAACACUAUUCUGGUAAAUGCAUGCACCUGGGAAAUCCCAUUGGGCUGAGCAUGUUCCCUGAUGUCAACUCUGCUACCUUUUUAGACCUUUUAUGAUGCACUGUAGGCCAGCAGAGACUUGUGUUCAUGAUCUGUCUUCUUUCUUUUUGCUGGAGAGCAACUUAGAAAGCCUUACAGUCAGACUGGAAUCUGGGUCCAGCUUGCAAAUGAAAACACGGGAGCCAGUGGAUCUUUUCUCUAAAACAUUUAUUAAAUGUAGAUGUUUGAGCUUCUAAGUGGAUGUACUUUAAUCAUAGAAAAUCAAGGUUGGAAGAAACCUCAGGAGGUCAUCUUGUUUAACCCCCUGCUCAAAGCAAGGGCCACCCCCAACUAGAUCAUCCCAGCCAAGGCUUUGUUGAGUUGGGUCUUAAGAUUCUCCAAGGAUGGAGACUCCGCAACGUUUUUGGGUAACCUGUUCCAGUGCUUUACUGGCUUCCUAGUGUGAGAGUUUUUUCCUAAUGUCCAGCCUAAACUUCCCUUGCAGCAAUUUGAGACUGUUAAUCUUUGUUCUGUCAUCUGCCACCACUGAGAACAGUCCAGCUUCAUCCUCUUUGGAACCACCCUUCAGGUAGUUGAAGGUUGCUAUUAAAUCCCCCCAUGGUAUUCUCUUCUCCAGACCAAAUAAGCCCAGUUCCUUCUGCCUCUCCUCAGAAAUCAUGUUCCCCAGCCCCCUACCAAUUUCUACUACUGGACUCUUUCCAAUCUGUUUACAUCCUUUCUGGAGUUGGGGCCCCAAAACUGGACACAGACCUCCAGAUGUAGCCACACCAGUGCUGAAUAGAGGGGAAGAAUCACUUUCCUCAAUAUCCUGGCAGUGCUCCUACCACUGCAGCCCAGUAUGCCAUUAGCUUUCUUCUCAACAAUGGCACACUGUUGGCUCAUAUUCAACUUAUUGUUCACUGUAACCCCCAGGUCCUUUUCGUCUGAGCUGCUGGCCAGCCAAUCAUCCCCCAGCCUGUGCAGGUGCAUGGUAUUAUUCUAUCCUAAGUGCAGGACUUUGCACUUGUCUUUAUUGAACCUCAUGAGAUAACUUUUGGACCAAUCCUCCAGUUUGUCGAGGGCUCUCUAAAUCCUAGCUCUACCCUUCAGCACAUGCAUUACUUCCCCCAGUUUAGUGUCAUCUGUGAACUUGCUGAGGGUGCAAUCCAUCCUAUCUUUCAGGCCACUGAUGAGCAAAACUAGCCCCAGGACUGACCCUGGGGCACUCUACUUGAUACCGGCUGCAAACUAGACAUCAAGCCAUUGACUACUACCCUCUAAACCUGAUGAUCCAGACAGUUUUCUAUCCACAUUACAGUUCAUUCAUCCAUAAUGUUAAUGCUUAUCUACUUGUAUUUGUUUAUUUCUCCCUAGCCUGUUGGCUUGUGAUCCUAAUCCCUAGCUUCCCUUUGGCUUUCUGUGCCAGUUCCUGGGGUUGCGGGCUUUAGUACCAUAUUCUGCCCAUUAGUAUUUAUAUUUUUUGUAGAAGUGGGAGGGGGUUGAGAUUUCCUGCUCUGAUCAGUUCAAUGGCAGAUACACCCUUUAUGUGGGGACUUUGUAUAGGCCAUCUGGUAAAAUUCUGGCUGGAAUUUGACCCCUAAAACUUCUUUUGGAAUUAAAAACUACUGAUACUAACACUCACAUUUUAUAAAAGCUGAUGUCCAUUAUAAUCUCCACACUGUACCAGCUCUGUUCAAAUCCAGUCAUAAAGGACACCACCAGUGAAUCCCCUGGGAGAAACAGCAAUCUAAUCAAACUCUUCAGGUGCAGUACAGUAACAGAAACUUCUUCCCUGCUACCAACCUCCUCUCCCUUUCAAGGAUUCUGACAGUCAAUUCCAGCUAUGUAUUCAGGGAGCACUAAGGCACCACUUCUGGAAGCACUAUCAUACCAGACUGAUAUAUAGAGAAGAUGCAUUGUGAUGCCAGAGAGAAAGGAGAAUCAGACCAUGCAUGGUAACUGCAUCAGUAUGGAGCUGUAAGAGACAAUUGUGUUAGCAUGUGUGAAAUUGGUGGGGUGGGGGAUAUUCAAAGGCAUUAACAGUCUUUGUGACUCUAUGUUGUGGGUGGGAGGGUUUCACUCUUACCCUUGUCUUGCUUCUGGCAGGUGGUUUUGGCCAUCUGUCUUCAAACUGGUGAUGGCUCUUGAGGUCCUUUACAUAUAUGUUCCUCAACUAUUGGAUAGUAUCGGAUACCAUAAGGCACCUCAUCUGUUUUGAGUAGUGGCAGGGUACUCUGUAGGCUUAUAGGAUGAUCUCAUUGCUUGGGUCUCAUGUUGCAAGUGCCCCAACAAUCAGUGCUUGCAUUGUUGCAUCAUACCCCUUCUCCCUCAGGUUAUCAGCCAGUUGUCUGUACUUGGACAGGUUUUGCUCCGUGGCUUUGGUGAAAUCCUGCCACUGGUUUUUGAAUGUAGGAUUGUCAUGUUGAUCAUCAGGAUCUUUUUUCUUGUCAUCAUUUGUUACCACAGUGCCCAGACACAGCUGGCUAUAGCAGGUUGGGAUGGCCUAGUUUGUAGCUCAUGUCCUGACUGAUGCCAAGAUGGCUUUCACCAGCUGACUCUGUAUGGCACUUUGGCAGAAUUGCCACACCCUUACAAUGAGCUCGCAGCCAUAUGGGAUAUGGGUAGGGGGAACAAGGUAGGAAAAACUGUUUAAAAGUUGUCAUGCUUAGGUGAAUUAUUUUUUUUUUUCUUUCCAAAUAUUUUUCAAUUUAUUUUUCAGUCUGUCUUGCAUAGGAACUUAUUGAAAGUCAAAAUAUGCCACACACAUAUAUGGGCUAUCAGUCUGUGUAUGAACAUUGGAGGUGUCCUUUCAGUUGGAGAAAAAUGUUGACAACACUAGUUGGGCAUUCACAGCCAAGGUACAAAGAUAAAUAGGACAAGGGACCUCUGGUCUUUUCCUACAAGCUAAGCCUAUUUUUUUAGAAAUUAGGAGACUCUGGAAGGCCUGGAUAUAGAUCAAACCAGCUGGUAUUUUCAGUUCUGUUGCUGUUCAGAAGAACUUUGUUCCAAGUUCACUCAUCCCUACUAACAACAAGACAGUACCUCACACUGUUCCAGCUCUGGUCCUACUUGGCUGUGUGCAAUAUCCCUGUGUUCACUUUGUAUAGACUUACAAAGCCCACCUGGAGAUAAAAGAAAAAACAACAAAGAAAAGCAAAGACAGCCACUUUUUGAUUAAUUGUGGUUACAGGAAAGCUUUGCAUUUUCUUUUUUCUACACAGUUUUUUGAAGAAUAGCAUGAAACUGAGAGAGAGGUAUUGACUGACUAAACUUCGAGGCUGCAUAAACCUUAAGCACAUGAAAAGUAACCAGCAUUUCCUCCUUAAUAUAAAUGUUGCCUCUAUAUAAUGAUGAUUUUCAGUGGCAAUCUAGCAGGUAGCACAAAUGUAAAGUUGCUCUAGCAACUACACUUCCCCAGAGCAUCAGAAAGGAAUGGCAUUUGGAAUCAGGUACCCCUUGAUAAAUCAUAUAUAAACCUCACCAGUGACUUUUCCUGCCAGCAGAAAGAGUUUGAGUAUCCACUGUUUGAAUCUCUCAGACAGUAAAGAGUGCCAUAUGCAUCAGACUGAGGUUUUAAAACUGCUGAUGUUCACAUUUAACCCACACAGGCUUAAUCCAAUCUUGAAAAAUUAAUAUAGUGCAAAAUUUUGCCUUGUGAGGUAAUGUCUUUUCAGAGCUUUUUUUUUUUUUUUUUACAUGUGGAUCAUCAAAUGCUAAUACUAAUGCAUCCUGCUACAACAGCAGAAUGAAUGUCUGCAUGCUAAAGAAAUAUGGUCUGUGCCAGAAGGAAAAGUGAAGCAUCUUGAAUAUCCACUAAACUCAUUUAAGGAAGGAGUAACAGACUUCCUUUCAGUUCUAAGGAAUGAUGGGACUUUGUUCAUCUUAUAAGCUAGGAACAGACAUUCAAAAACCUGAGGCUAAAUUGAUUCAAUCUUUGCAGGACCAUUCAAGAAAAAUGAAAGAUGUCUGCAGAAGAAAGAGACUCCAUGAUUCAGGCCUGCUACUGCCUCACUGUAGAUGUCUGCACCAAAAAACAAAAAAAAUCAAGGAAAGCCUGCAGCUUUUCCAGACUUAAGGAAACUUCAGAUCACUUGGGUUCAGGGUGCUGGGACCAAACACAGUUUCUUGUCCUACAGAGAACAUUUGAUAAAGGACUGCUCAAAAAAAGCCUUAUUCAUUAAUCUUUUUAAACUUGAUUGAAUUCUAGUAGUCUCCUUUCCAUUGAAAUAGUGUUUCUGAGUUAAUUCUCUACUACCAUAUUUACCUGUAUUAGUCAAGGUUGAAUAUCAUAUAGUGUAACCAGCACAUAUUUUAAUUUCCUUAGAUUUAUUCUGGCUUUGAUUUCUUUGAAAAACAGUUGUAUUCUUUUUGAUUUCCAGAUCAUGUUUCACAUGAAAUAUACCAACUUCAGAGAGCUGUUUUCAUCACUAAUUGUUUGAUGCAGUUCUAGCAGCCUCCCUUCUUUGCUAGUGUCCAAUAAGUAUGAAAAAGUAUUGUCAUUAGUUUUAAUUGUGUCAUUAAUUUGUGUACAAGUAUCAGUAAGUAAAUGUUGCAUAUGUUUUAUCUUGCUAACAGUACUAUUAUUAUUGACAUCCUUUCUUCUGCGAGACACGGUGGAUAUUGCAGCCUAUGAUGUAGAUGGUUUGCAGUGUCUCGUGUGACUGAAUAGUUCAAUCCGAGAUUUGCAUGAUCUGUGGCAGUGGUUGCAAGUGUGUGUGUGUGUGUGUGUGUGUGAUGGUUGGGUGAGUUCAUGAGCUGCUUUCUUCCUAUGGACUCUUUUCUCUUCAAGCUGUUGAUGCUAAUUCCUGUCAUGGAUUUUAAUGCCCUGGUGAAGAUAAUGAUGCCACUUGAACCUAAGUAGCUGAAUUUUUGGAAUACUUCUAGCUGGUUCUCAUUAAGGAUGAUUGAUGGAUAUUGUGAAACUCCCUGUCCAAGUAUGACUGUUUUCUUUAUGCUGACAGUGAGAGCAAAUGCCUAACAAGAUCUUGAAAGGCGACACAUGAGCUCUUGUAGUAGGUCUUCAUUGUGGUCUGUAAGGGCAGCAUCAUCAGUGAAUAGAAGCUCCCUGAGAAGCACCUUUCUAACUUUAGUCUAUGCCUUGAGUUGUGACAGGCUGAAGAGUUUCCCAUCCAAUCUUGUGUGAAGGUACUCUUCACCUUCCAUAUCUUUAAACACGCAGUUCAGGAGUACUGAGAAAAGAUGUCAAAGACUGUAGAAGCAAGAGCACACCCUUGCUUCACUCUGCUUUUCAUCUCAAAGCUGUCUAAAGUGAACCCAUUAAGCUGAACAGUUGCUUUCAUGUUGUCAUAGAAGGAAAGUAUAAGACUUAACAGGAUUUGGGCAUCCUAUCUUUUCUACGACUGCAAAUAGGCUUGCUCUGUUGACGGUGUCAAAUGCUUUGGUUAGAUCCAUGAAGGCGAUGUACAAUGGUCAGUUUUGCUUUCUGCACUUUUCUUGAAGUUGACACAGGGAAAAUAUCAUGCCUAUGGUUGAUCUUCCAGCCCUGAAUCCCAGUGACAGUGGUUGCAAUGACUCACCAGCUGUUGUGGGUGGACCAAGAUGACCCUUGCAAAAGCUUUUCCUUCUGUACUUAGUAGCAAGAUACCUCUGUAGUUGCUGCAGUCACCCUUAUCUCUUUUAUUUUUAUACGUAGCGAUGUUGUUUGUGUAACACAUGUUUUGUGGUACCUCACUAUCUUUCCAGCAUUUGAGUGGCAGCUGAUGAAGAUAUGGUAGUAGGCUUUCUUUCCCACACUUGAGAAUUUCUGUUAGGAUGCCAUCUUUUUCAGGAGCCUUGCCACUUAAUAAUGAAUCAAUAGCCUUGCUUAGCUCUUCUACAGUGGGCUAACACCAUGUAUAACUCUGGUGUGUCUUGUAGAGUUGGUAUUUGGUCCAGUGAUUCACUGGUGAUGUUUCUUUCUUGUGAGUGUAGCUCUGAGUAAUGUUCAACCAAUGAGGCAUCUGCUUGCUUCUAGCUGUAAUGGCUUCACUGCUGCAUGUUUGGAGCAGGGUAUCCUUGUUGACAAUAGGGCCUAGAGCUUUCUUCAGACCAUUGUACAAGACUUUUAUGUUUCCUGUGUCUGAGGCUGUCUGUAUCUCUUCACAGGAGUUAGUCCAGUACUGAUUUGCACAGCAUCUGUUUGCUCUUUGUACCUUGUUUUUUGUAUGUCAAAGUCUCAGUUUGGUGCUUACUGUUGGCUUCUUGUUGUGUUCUUGUUCUUGUUGUGUAGUCUGUGGUCUUGAUGUUGGUGACAGGUAAUAGUUCUUCUGCCUUUUCUUUGAAGCAGUCCUUAUUGGGUGUUCUCUUUUCCUCAAAUGUAGCUUUCGCUGUUUCAUGGAUUGCAGUUCUUAAACCUUCCUAAAUUUCCUCUGCCUUCUUUAGUAGUAACUUCUCAAACAUGCUGAGUUUGAAAGCAUUUACAAACUCUUGGCACUUCCUCUGGUUCUUGGUGUUAGUGGUAUUGAUUUUGGCCUCGCUCCUAAGUUUUGCUCUAUGCAGUUUCUUGGCUGUAAUCUUCACCUUGCUAAUGAUCAGGGAGUGAUUGGUGUCACAAUAGGUACUGUGGAAUGUGUAGGUCUUCUGCGCUGAAGGUAGGUUUUUCCUCCUAACAAUAACAAGGUCUUGUUGGUGCCAGUGUCCUGAUUGUGGAUGUCACUAUGAAACUUUGUGGUUAUCUUUUUCAGCAAAAUAUGAAUUGGUAAUGUACAAUUGGUUUUGGGGACAGAAUUCAAGAUGUCAUUGGCUGUUUUCAUUCAUUUUACCAAUGACAAUAUGUCCUAGGCAAACUGGCCAUGAGUUAUUGUUUCCGCCAACUUUUGUAUUGAAAUCUCUGAGGAGGAAUAGUCACUCAAGUUGAUGGUAUUCCUUUGAUGACUUGGUGCAGUGUGUCGUAAAAUGUGUCCUUCUCCUCAGGGCUAGAGCUGAGCGUUGGUGCAUAUGUGCUGAUGAUGUUCACAAAACUUAUAUGAGAUGAUGUGCUCUGACUUCCCAGUGGGUAUUUCUAUAAGCUUUACCAACUUGUUACUCACAGGAAAACCAAUGCCAUGCUGACAAUUUUCUUCAGUGCUUUUCCCUUGCCACAAGAAGGUAUAAUUGGCCUCUUGGAUAGAAUCAUUAUCUGCAAGUCUCAUUUCCUGGAGCACUGUAAUGUCAACAUUGAGUCUGUACAGCUCACGGUCAAUCAAGACUGACUUCUGUAUGCUGCUUCUGUACUGUAGGUCAUCACCAUCUGUCAAGCCAGGAUACAUGGUCCUGACAUUCCAGCUUCCAAGCCAGAAACUUGUUGGUUUCUCAUUUUUGCCAGGUGUAGGGUUUCCAUCUGCUUUUCAGCUUUUGGCCUAGCCCCAGGUAGUUUUAAAUUAAAAACUGAGAUUAAUUUAGAGAGGGAUAUACAGAAAUAUUCAAUGCUACUAUUCUGGUUCCUUUCGUAUUUUACAGAUAAAGUUAAUGCAUUAAUCCUAAUCUGUUUCCGAGCUCACUUAAAAGGUUAGUAUUUUAGGUAAAUAAGUAAUGAAUUAACCCGUUACAGAGUAGGCUCAAAAAAAUAUUAUUAUGAUGUAAGCAGUAGGAUUUUCUUAAAUAUGUUAUAAAAAGCAGAAAAUCUAACUCCACUGAAAUCAAAGUACAAUGGGACAAUAUGACUCAAGGUUUUCAUUAUAUUAAGGGAACAGUGACACCUUAUGUAAAAAAUACAAUAUUUGGCUCAAAAUUUACAUGUGAAUUCUUACAGAGUUCUUGCAUUAGCUUUCAAAAAUAGCCAGUUCACAUUAUUUUGUUCUUAUACUGUUCCUGAAUUAAAAAAUAAGUGAAAUACUUCUAAAAAAUAUUUCUUAAAAAAAAAUUACUACAAUUGAUUCCCACAGUCAUAUGUAAAAUGAUAAUUAUCAGAAUCAGUGUGGUAAAGAUUAUUUUUAUCUUUGAAAAUAAAAAUGUUGGCCAUUUAAAUAUU